UUUUAUGCCUUACUUGUUUAAGUUGUUUAUUUUGUUUAAAUUAAAAAUUAAUUGUUUUAUUAAAUUUAUUGAAAAAAUUAUUUUUGUUAUAGUUUAUUAGUAUUGAAAAAGAAGGGUUGUAAAUUUUUAUAAGAAAAAUUUAUUUUUUGUACCUUGUGUAUCAGGGCUUAUUAAAAAAUAAUUAUUGUUUAGUUUUCUCGAGUUCAGAAGAUCUAUGAAUUUAUAUUUUUUAUUGUUGAAUAAAUAUUGGUAAUAAAUUUAUAGUAGUGAAAUUCUUUACGAUUUUGAAUAUAUCUAGUUCCUAGAGAAAAAAAUUUAAUUUUAUUUUCAUUAAGAAAGUUUGUUUAAUACUUAGCUUCUUUUUUUUGGGAUUAAAGAGUUACAGGGAUGAGCUUGUGGCUUUAAAAGCAUAUUUUUUAGUUAAUUGCUUAUAGUAGGAUUAGAAGUUUCUUUUUUAAAGGGUUUUAUAACUUUAUUGCUUUGGGUUUAAGAUUUUUUUUGUUUUGCUUUAUUUAUUUAGGAUAUUUAAUUAAUGGUUUAUUUGUUGUUAUAAUGAUAAGAUUAGUAUAUUAAAUUAAAUUUUAUUUAUUUUUUAUAAGGUUAAGUGAAGGAACUCGGCAAAUAUAUUUUUCACCUGUUUAUUAAAAACAUGGCCUUUUGAUUAUAAUUUAAGGUCAGGCCUGCCCACUGAUUUAUUAAAUGGCCGCGGUAUUUUGACCGUGCAAAGGUAGCAUAAUCAUUAGUUUUUUAAUUGAAAGCUGGAAUGAAGGGUUAGAUGAGAAAAUUUCUGUCUCCAUUUAAUUUAUAUAGAAUUUUAUUUUUAAGUUAAAAAGCUUAAAUGUUUAUAAAAGACGAGAAGACCCUAUAGAGUUUUAUAUGUGUGUUGUGAGUGAUGUUUGGUAUUUAUAUUUGCUUUAGGUUUAUGUAUUUGGUUGGGGUGAUUGGAAAAUUGAUUUAACUUUUUUGUUUGUUUACAGGGAUAGCUGGGUUCUUGAUCCUUUUAUAAGAUUAUCAGAUUAAAUUACCUUAGGGAUAACAGCGUUAUUUUUCUUGAGAGUUCUUAUCGAAAGGAGAGAUUGCGACCUCGAUGUUGGAUUAAAAUGAAUUUUUGGUGUAGAAGCUUUAAAAUUAAGUCUGUUCGACUUUUGAAAUUUUACAUGAUCUGAGUUUAAACCGGUGUGAGCCAGGUUGGUUUCUAUCUUUAUAAUAUUUAAUAUCUUAGUACGAAAGGACCAGGUAUUAGUUUAAUUAAAUUAUAGUUUGA
rnacentral:rRNA from 1 species